UUGGUGGUGACCGCAACCUUAGAGGCCGCCAGUUUGACUUCUCGCGAGUCUCAGUAGCGUUACGUACGAUAGGGAACGGAUCGACAACGGAUCCGACGGUAGACCGCUUCCUCGUGCUCGCAUGCGCGCGAUUUAAACGGUCAGCAGAUUGGUGAAUCUUUAUGUCGAUAUCGCGAGAACACGCCGAGAAAAAGUUCAAUACGGCAGGGUAUACAUCUUAAUACGCAAUCUCUGCCAUUUUAUGAUUCUUUGAUCUUCUCUUCACUAUCGCUUCGUUUCAUGUGUCGACACGGUUUACGAGUGUUGUGCAACUCUUUUUCACGAGCCUUUAUUUUAUCAGUGACUGGAUUAAUGCAACUCUUGAUUCCUUCCCGACAGUGAUGAUCGACCGUGAUUUUCCACGAUCGAGAGUCGCAGUUCUCGUGGUCGAUCGUUUUGGAAGGUCGAGCGAUGAGUCAAUUCGCGAAGCGUAUCGCCACGCUGGCUCAUUUUAUCGGGAUAUACACGGUGUCAAAUAAAAGCUACUAUUGUAUUUCAAUGAUAAACCGAUUGUUAUAUUGCAGCUAUUUAUCACACUUCAAUCUCCGACUGGAGAAACAAAUGAGUGUAAUCCACUAGCUUCGGUAUCGCGAUUUUUAAAGAGGCACUUUGAGUUCCGAUGUCGUUUGAAUUACAUUUCUUGAUUGAUAAAUCCUUCUUCGUUUUACGGCGCGAAUCAUUUAAGAUACAUGACUACAAAUAUUGUCUUAUUUCGGCCACGUAACCAGGCGUGGAGAUGAUAGUCUCAAAAAACUGGUUGUCAUCGGCAAUGUCGAAGGUAGAAGGGCACGAGGCCGGAGCCCAAGCAGACGGACACAUCAAGUAGUAGAAAAUAGAACGUCUAAGUUCUAUACCACGGGAAAGAUAGCUGUCGAUAGAAAUCGUUGGAGACAAUUUGUUCACCCCAGGUUUGUCACAUCAAGUGAAGACCGCGAUCUUCAGUUAUGAAAAAGCAACUAGAGAUAACUACGAACAUCACUGUCCGAUAUAUUUCAUUAGGCACUGUUUGCAAUGGUAUUGAUGAUUGAAAUUGCAAAUCAUUUGUUCUUAUCUGGAAUUGCUUGCAUCUCUUAGAUUUAUUGUUUUUUAGGAACUUCACUCUCCCUGCAAAGUAUGUAAUUCCGUAAAGAAGUGGAGCGUUAGUUUUUGAGAAACUUUGUUUCAAUAUAACUUGAAUGUAGGCGUGUACACGUUAUAUGUACAUCGCUUCUGAUAUUUAUCAAUCAAUUUCAAAUCUAGCUGCAAUCGAAUUCAAGGAUGUUUCAGCGAAGGCGCGUCACAUAUACGUUAUUCUUUCAGACGUCACUGACUACACUAAUCGCUAUCUUGUCAACCUUCGAAUUACGAGGUAGAACGUCAGCGACACCAUCUCUCGCCACCACAGUGCACAUCUAACACCGAUCCAUCAUCGACGAUGGUUCGUUGGCAAUUAAUCAAAACACAAAUUAGUAAUGUACGUUAUCAAAAGGCUUUCCUGGGAGACCUUAUCGAAACUGUCAGAUCCGACAGGAGCUUCAAUAUCACACUAGGUGUCUCAUGAAUCCUCCACGAUAUCCAUUUCCGAGGGUCUUCAGACUUGUGUCAAGAACAAAAGCAAUGUCACUGUUAGUAAAUCUUUGUUUGUCUGUCUUAAUUGUUGAACACUGUUUCAUUAUGUUCCACAAAAAGAGAGAGAAAGAGAAUGAGAGUAAAAAAAGCGACGAUCAAGAAACGCGAGGCGGUUGCUCCGAGAUCGUUGUCGCCUUCGAAGAUGACCGUACGCGACUGCCUUCUCCCUUUUCCACCCUCGAAACGAGCCACCCUCGGAGAAGAGACCACACAACCGAGGGAUGCGAAAGCAGAAUCAAUACACAGCGCCGCCACCCCCCGAUAGAAACGUGCGAGUGAACCACCCUUGAAUGUCUGGCCUCGACGUCGUUCGCCCACACUCUCUGUCACCUCCCUUCUUGACGAAAGCACGCAUGCGUCGCAGAAAGUGGGGAACCACCGAUACACGUUUGUUCCGUGUUCUAUCCUUUUAGCAGAGGGUACUGCUCGCAGCCGAGAGAGUUUCAGACUAGUCAGCUGAUCGGACUGAAUGUCACGAAGCGCAAGCGUUAACGCGUCCUAAAGCAAAGAGCUCAAAAAUUUUCAAGCGCACUGUAGAAAGAACGGCUUUUCUGGCUACGAUUAUCGAAAAUGCGUAAAAGAUUUAUUCAUUUUUUAUUUGUGUUACUGAUACUUCGGAAUAAAAGAAGAUAAAAUUAGCAUAAUAUCGUUUUAAGCUACAUUCCAAAACAUCCUCUCCGAGAAAAACUUUACUCGAUAUAAUACAGUAUACGUUACGUGUACUAUAUAUUUCGAGUAAAGUUUUCCUCGGAAAGGAUGUUUUGGAAUCUAACCUUAGUAAGAAAAGAUAUAGAAAGCAGAAAAGAUUCAGCUUUCUAUCUACGAAAAGAAAUCGAUUGCUCUAAUUCCAAGAUAUCGAUAUGUACAUCCUGAUGAUGACGCACGCAUCUGUGGGAUGUACAGAGUGGGAUGCCACAUCUUCACCUUUAUCGUCCUCCUACCUAGCAACGAGUUUUCGCCUCGUCAGCUGCUCGAAUCAGUUACUAUACUAUGAACAUCGACAAGAUUAUCGGAACAUAGCCAUGUCCACCGCCAUUUACUCAGGAGAGGAUGUUCGAGAGUCAGUAUGAAGUGGAUAAAGUCAAAGUUUCUGAAAGAGGCAACAAGCAAGAAAGUGCGUUCCAUCAGCUGAUCAAUCGACCGAGAAAGUAACGAUGAGAGAAGAGUAGCGGGCAUCCACUCCACGCAAAAGGUAGAGAUAAGAAUAGAUCCAAGUUGACGCGAAAUCUCCACCGGAAAAUAGAACCGCGUACACGUGAACUAGCAGAUAAAUUGUGAAGCUUCAUUUAAGUGUUAUGUUAAAAGAGCCCAGCAAAGGGCCUCCUCCAGCUGAUCGAGCCGCGUUCUCUCCACUCUAAAGCAAUUCAAAUAAUUCAAUGCAUCUGAAUUUAUCUAAAUUAACCCUCCCGUGGUUUAAUGUUUUUUUCGUUACUUUUCUAGUCUAGUGAAUUAUUGGUGCCUGAUAAUGAAUGGAAUUCUUAAGGUUCUAAAAAUCUGGUAUAUGCUUUUAACAUUUUAGAAUACGAAUAUAAGAAAGUUUUUAUAAUUUACAUCUCAAUAUUUAUCUUUUAAAUCUCGUAGAGUGAAAAAUCAUUCGAAAAUUGCACGAGCUCAUUUUUUUAAAGUGACGUUUCACGGACAAAAAUAUAUCCGUUCUAUUUAAAGGCUACAUAUAUUUUUGUCCGUUGGUAGUUUUUGGUGAUUAAAAAAAAAAAAAAAAAAA